rnacentral:lncRNA from 1 species
UUUGGAUGUGCGCGUGCAGGAAACGGAUCGGUUUGGUGGUGGUGGAAUCAUGGUAUGGGGCGGAAUAACCUAACAGGAACGCAUCGAGCUCAAAAUCAUCGUUGGUAACCUAAAUGCAACAAGGUAUAGGGACGAAAUUAUGACUCCAGUUGUCACGUGGCACACAUUUCGAUGACCUUUUUGGAAAAUAACCAUAUUCGUGUUUUGAUUGGCCAGCAAUGUCUCCAGAUUUAUUGCCAAUUG